rnacentral:rRNA from 1 species
UACAGAGGUGGCAAGCGUUGUUCGGAAUUACUGGGCGUAAAGGGCGCGUAGGCGGCCCGUCAAGUCCCGUGUGAAAGCCCCCGGCUCAACCGGGGAACGGCGCGGGAAACUAGCAGGCUUGAGUUCGGGAGAGGGAAGCGGAAUUCCCGGUGUAGCGGUGAAAUGCGCAGAUAUCAGGAGGAACACCGGUGGCGAAGGCGGAUCUCUGGGCCAUUACUGACGCUGAGGAGCGAAAGCGUGGGGAGCGAACAGG